rnacentral:lncRNA from 1 species
AUUUACUUUAUGUAUAUGAUUUUGUAUAAGAAUAUAAGACUACUGGAGAUGAUGGAGCAGGAUCUGACAUGCUUGGACCAUAACCUGGAGCACUAUUCACCUAAGGCUGUCAGAAUUCAACAGUGUCCUCAGUCGUCCUCAGAGGCACCUGGUCACCUGGAUGGAAUCACCAUACCUCAGCUUACCUAGAAGCAGAACAUUCAGUGAUAAGUUAUGCAAAAUGAAGAAGAAUGGAACUUACAUAGAGAACAAGAACAAGCA